CCCCGUUCUCCCAUUUCCCGUUCCUCCAUUCCCCCAUUGCCCGUUCCUCCAUUCCCCGUUCCUCCAUUCCCCGUUCCUCCAUUCCACGUUUUUCGACAGAGAAGACGAUCUUUUUGCCUGUAUUCAAUCUACAAACACUAAAAACAAGUUUACUAUUCGUAUUUUACUCGUAUUCUACUCGUAUGUACUCGUAUUAUACUCGUAUGUACUCGUAUGUACUUGUGUUUUACUCGUAUGUACUCGUGUGUUACUCGUAUGUUACUCGUAUGUACUCGUAUGUUACUCGUAUGUACUCGUGUGUUACUCGUAUGUACUCG